rnacentral:rRNA from 1 species
GUGAAAUCCCCGGGCUUAGCCGGGGAACUACAUUUGGAACUGGCAGGUUAGAGUCUUGUAGAGGGGGGUAGAAUUCCAGUUGUAGCGGUGAAAUGCGUAGAGAUCUGGAGGAAUACCGGUGGCGAAGGCGGCCCCCUGGACAAAGACUGACGCUCAGGUGCGAAAGCGUGGAGAGCAAACAGGAUUAGAUACCCUGGUAGUCCACGCCGUAAACGAUGUCGACUUGGAGGUUGUGCCCUUGAGGCGUGGCUUCCGGAGCUAACGCGUUAAGUCGACCGCCUGGGGAGUACGGCCGCAAGGUUAAAACUCAAAUGAAUUGACGGGGGCCCGCACAAAGCGGUGGAGCAUGUGGUUUAAUUCGAUGCAACGCGAAGAACCUUACCUGGCCUUGACAUCCACGGAAUUCGGCAGAGAUGCCUUAGUGCCUUCGGGAACCGUGAGACAGGUGCUGCAUGGCUGUCGUCAGCUCGUGUUGUGAAAUGUUGGGUUAAGUCCCGCAACGAGCGCAACCCUUAUCCUUUGUUGCCAGCGCGUGAUGGCGGGAACUCAAAGGAGACUGCCGGUGACAAACCGGAGGAAGGUGGGGAUGACGUCAAGUCAUCAUGGCCCUUACGGCCAGGGCUACACACGUGCUACAAUGGCGCAUACAAAGAGAAGCGACCUCGCGAGAGCAAGCGGACCUCAUAAAGUGCGUCGUAGUCCGGAUCGGAGUCUGCAACUCGACUCCGUGAAGUCGGAAUCGCUAGUAAUCGUAGAUCAGAACGCUACGGUGAAUACGUUCCCGGGCCUUGUACACACCGCCCGUCACACCAUGGGAGUGGGUUGCAAAAGAAGUAGGUAGCUUAACCUCCGGGAGGGCGCUUACCACUUUGUGAUUCAUGACUGGGGUGAAGUCGUAACAAGGUAACC